rnacentral:rRNA from 1 species
CACGUAGUUAGCCGAGACUUCUUCCUGUGGUACCGUCCUGUCUCUUCCCACAGAAAAGCGGUUUACAACCCGAAGGCCGUCAUCCCGCACGCGGCGUUGCUGCGUCAGGCUUUCGCCCAUUGUCGCAAUAUCCCUUA